UCAGCGACAAAGGGCUGCUCCAGCCCAGGGUUUCUUCCUCAGUAUGGGGUAGGGGAGUGUCCACCAGAGACGGCAGGGCUGGCCAAACUGGGCCUCGACCCUGUCCCCUCCUCGCCCUCAUCCCUGCCAUGGGAAUUACUGGUAGACAAAAAGCACACCUCAAACGUUUAUCAGGAGGCCCAGCUCUUCCUCUGCAUGAGUUAACUACACACUGGAAGAAAGAUGAACAAACAGGCCGCAUGAAGGAUAAGUGGUGAAGGGCAGAGAAAUUCCUGACGACAAAUUAACCUUGGCUUCGGCUGGCCUGUCAGCUGAGCAGACCGGCAGGAGCGAAAACCGGCUGUUUCCGCUCAUAUUUGUCAGCACGCUGAUAAGGUUACUGGAGGACUCGAGUGACACUUGGUCACACUGAGGCCGAGAUAGCAGACAUGAUGAAAGGCUGCCAGACCACGUGGUGUGGGGUACGCAGUUUUGACAACCUUUGCCCUUCCUUCCUCCAAGGAAAGGUAGCAAAGGGCAACAGAAAGAACUGCUCAGGGUCAAAGAGACUCGGGUUCAAGUCCACCCCUCUUGUGUCACCCGGCAGUCCUGAGACACCGGCUAACCCUGUGAGCCGACUCGAUUUGCGAAUAAGGCGAAUCUCCUAAUGUUCCUUCGAAGGGCGGAUGAAGAAAAGGCUACAGAGUAAUCACCUCCAUGACGGACGGACUUUCUCUGUGUUAGACACGGGGCGAGGAAUCUAAAGUUCGCAGGUGUUCGGAACCUUGCCCGAGUUUCUUGGUUGCUGUACCACUGCGUGUGAACAGACACUCUGAAUCUAUAAUCCCGGCUCUUUCUGUUGGACUGUGUCACCUUUUGACAUGGGACCCUUCUGAUCCCGGGAAAGGCAAUAUCCUCUACGAUGGACUGAGGAGACCUUGAAAAGACACGGAAUUGUGUUGGUUCGCUGCCUGCCAUACCAACAGGAACAGCUAAAGGAAGCUAAAUCCCACCCCCCUCCAACAUCCCCUCCAUCUCUUCUGCCUGCUUCCUCAUGGUCCUGAGGACCUACCAGGGCCACUACUGAAAACCACUCUCAGGCUCCCUCCUCCAGAAAAAGUCCCCAGGAAUCCCAGGAAGGUGGGGACAGCAGCACCAGCCACUGGGAUCUUUAGGGAAGGAUGAGUGAAAACUUUCCCUGACAAGGGACUGGAGAGACCUCGUGCCUGCCUGAGGCACAAUGUACAAGGAAUGGGUGCUGGGGCUGGUGCAGGGCCUGAGUCCCUGUAAGUGACCCCUCCACUCGUGUAAACAACCAUAUUUACUCUGAGUAGAUUAAAAAAAAAAAGACAUCAAAGUAGAAUUGGACUUGUUAACUUGUUAGGGAGAACAUUUUCAGGGGCUGCAGGGAUGAGAAUAAUAAAGGUCAAACUCUCUAACGUGUGUAUAUGUAUAUGAUAUCAUCAAAGAAUUUAACACACACACACACACACACACAGAUACAGAGAGACAUACACACAUAUACACACAUACACGCAUACAUAUAGACAUACAGAGAGAGAGACACACACAGAGACACACACACAUACACACAGAGACACACACACAUACACACAGACACAAACACACACAUACACACACAUAUAGACACACACACAGAGACACAGACACACCCGCCUUCCUGACAUUCAGGCCUCCAGUGGACGCUGCAGGGCCUUUCUUCCUCAUUUUAAGAUUGUGAGCUCAAAGCAAAGGCAGACACUUGUAGGCCACAGAGCCACACAUGGAGGGAGGAAUGUCCCUAGCUAAGAUUGCAAUCUGAAUUUCAGCUCAGUCACACCCUCAUAGCAUGGA